UUUUGGUUCGGAACAACUCAGGGAAACUUGAGCUAAUACCGAAUGUGCCCUUCGGGGGAAAGAUUUAUCGCCAUUAGAGCGGCCCGCGUCUGAUUAGCUAGUUGGUGGGGUAAAGGCUCACCAAGGCUACGAUCAGUAGCUGGUCUGAGAGGAUGAUCAGCCACAUUGGGACUGAGACACGGCCCAAACUCCUACGGGAGGCAGCAGUGGGGAAUCUUGCGCAAUGGGCGAAAGCCUGACGCAGCCAUGCCGCGUGAAUGAUGAAGGUCUUAGGAUUGUAAAAUUCUUUCACCGGGGACGAUAAUGACGGUACCCGGAGAAGAAGCCCCGGCUAACUUCGUGCCAGCAGCCGCGGUAAUACGAAGGGGGCUAGCGUUGCUCGGAAUUACUGGGCGUAAAGGGAGCGUAGGCGGAUAGUUUAGUCAGAGGUGAAAGCCCAGGGCUCAACCUUGGAAUUGCCUUUGAACUGGCUAUCUUGAGUACGGAAGAGGAUGUGGAACUCCGAGUGAGAGUGAAAUUCGUAGAUAUUCGGAAGAACACCAGUGGCGAAGCGACAUACUGGUCCGUUACUGACGCUGAGCUCGAAGCGUGGGGAGCAACAGGAUAGAUACCCUGGUAGUCACGCUGUAACGAUGAGGCUAUUGUCGCAUGCAGCAUGUCGGGACGC
rnacentral:rRNA from 1 species